UUAACUUAUUUAUAAGCUACUCAGAGAUGCCAAAAAAUCAAGAGUUUGUAGGACUCCGGCGGGGUACCCGUAAAGGCUAGGCCCCAGAGGGGUCUGCCGCCGAAGCAACUGGUAGGUUCGUUCACAAAGGGUUGGGAGUUUUGCAACUCUGUAAUGAUCCUUCCGCAGGUUCACCUACGGAAA
rnacentral:misc_RNA from 1 species